GCUAAUUACUGUAAUUAGUGACUUUUAGCCUUUCAGCCCAUCGAGCCCAAUUGGGCCUCUCUACGACGAUCUGAUCGUCCAUCGAGCCCAAUUGGGCAUCUCUGAUCGUUCGUAGUCCUCCACGACACCGUUCGAUCUGCUACUCAGCUGCUGCAUCUUCCUCCUCCCUAGCACUAGCUCGCCCGCGCCGCCGCUUCUUCUCGCCGUCCUCACCGGCGCCGCCCGCUUCUGCUGGUUAGGGUUUUGGGGCUGGGGGGUUCGGGUUCUCCGGUGUCUGCCGGCUUAGAGGCGGCGAGAGCCGUCGACUGCGGGCGGAGGAAGAGGAAGAGGAAUGGAGGGCGCGGGCGCGCGGAAGAGGAAGGGAGGGCGCGGGCGCGCGGCGGGGCAGCCGCGGCGCCGGUGAGGCGCUAGCGGAUGCGAUGGAGGCGGCAUGACGGGGGCGGGGGCAGGAUUCAUAGGAAUGGACAUGCUGAGCGGUUGAGCUGGCCACACACUGGCCGGCGGUCCGGCGGUUGAGCUGGUGAGUCAUCGAGCCAUGGUGUCCUGAGGUUUUGGUCGAGGGGACAGCCGAGGAAGAGUGGCGUCGCUUCACGCCUUCAUGUGUAUGAUCCGGGAGCCAAUUGCAGAGCCGCUUCCAUGAUUGUUUCAAGCGAGCAGGAGAUACACAAGGGAAGCAAGAGGAGGAAACUAAGGGCAUAUGAAGAGAGGAACCUGUGCAACCGUCAGGGACGUAUGGAUUGCCUUUGUAUCCCGGGGAGCACUUGCAGUGGUAACCCACGUAGUUGUUGUCGAUGCAGUCGCUAUUGUUGCUAACACACGCAUAGGCAGUCUUGUUAGUUCUGGCUUCCUCGCAUGUUUUCUGUGCUAGCCCCCAUUCUAGCACAGUGGGUAUCAGCGAGCUGUCCAUGUCGUAGAACACCGUUGAGGUGAGAUAGGUGGUGCUGAAGUUGAAGGCUGCGGUUUCCAUCACCGCUAUGUAAUUGCAAGGGGUUCUCCUACAUAUUUGGCUGGUGUUGUACUGCUCAUUGAAAUAGCUGUCGUAUUUCCGCACACCUUUCGGUAGAGCUGCCUGGCAGCACCCAUCUGUACCAGUGCAUGAUGAGCCGUUCUUAAGCCGUUCUUGAGUGCAUGUUGACGAGCACCCGAUUAUGUACUGCAUGGUUUGAGCACGAAUCAGUUAGCUGCUAAGUUUGGAGAAGUAAUAAUAGACUUCGCUUAUAUAUGAUUA